AGUCAAGUAUGGAAGUUAAAUCUCUAAGUUCUAUGCUUGGAAAAUGAUGAACAUUCAUUGUAUUUUAAUACUCAAUCAUACCCACAUUUUGAACAUUUUCUCUCUCUCUCUUUUUUUUUUCUAUUUCAUUAGAUUCCCUCCUGUACAAGCAUCCUAUUUUCUGCAAGGAUUUGUUCGGCAGGUAGCAUGAUACAAUGAAGCCCAGAAAUUCAUUAUUCAAUGUUCUCUUCCUCCGUCUGUACCACAUAUUUCCCAUGACCUCCAUCCAAAAAGAAAUAGACAAAAAUUUUGCUUGCUUCCUGAUGCCUGAUGCCUCAGCCUGGAAAUCAAAGACCUAUAUAACCUGGCUCCAAAUGUGCUUUACAAACAAUUGCAACAAGUCACCUCCUGGGUCAUUCUUCUCGAAACAAACAAACAAACAAACAAACAUUCAUUCUUGCUCGUUCCUGUUCCUGAAAGAUUGUCUCCUCUUUCUUGCUUAUUUAAAUUUCAUACUGACUUGAAUAUCCAAAUACAAUCUUACUUAAUCUGUGUGGCCUUUCCGGCUUAUUUCAUUACUGAGUUCUGGUUCUUUCAAUGUAACAGUUGUGUAUUCAAUUCAAAAAGUGUCUGAAGUGACUUGUCUGCAACACUAAUUUAGCGAUUAAGCUUGUGUAAGGGAGACAAAACUUUACCUCUACUCUUUUAGGGCCCUGUACGGGCCUGAGAAUUACAUAGACAUAAAACAAAUUAACAGAAGAAAAGCAUACAAAUUUAACGUAAAUUUUACAUGACACAGGAGCCCGCAUAAGAAAAUGAAGACUCAGAGAAGUGGCAGGACUCAUCUUUUUUUGUAUUUGGUUGAAUGAAGAGAGGCAAUUGCGGAAAAGUAACUAAAUUAUAUGGGGAAGCUAAAGGAAAAUAACAGUUAUUUUACCAAUGUCUGUUUUUACAUAAUUCUCUCAGUUAUGACUCUCCAUUGAAGAAUGUUUCUUUUCAGCUGGUACAGCGCAGACGUCUUUCAUGGAGGCCUUUUUGUCUCGUUUUCCGAGAGAAAAGAUUAGAAUGUCUUUCUUGCAUUUGCUGUUUUUCAAGUUCCUUUAGCUCAAAAUAAUACUUAGGACUCAGUGGCCUAUUAUGGGGUGGCAUAUUCUGCUACUCUCCACUUUCUUUUGUGAUGUCAUUAGUUAAUAUCUAACACAGAUAACUCUUUUAGUGUUUAACAUUUUGUGGGAAAAUGUGUCUAGGCUUUUACAGAAUUGUAUACAACCC
rnacentral:lncRNA from 1 species